rnacentral:rRNA from 1 species
AGUGGAUGGGGAGCAACCUAGUUGUGCGUGUGUAAAGGUAGUGCCAAGAAAAGCGAUGAUCAUGUUGAAAAUCAAUUCCCGGUACCCGAAACCGACACAGGUGGGCAAGUAGAGAAUACUAAGGGGCGCGAGGUAACUCUCUCCAAGGAACUCGGCAAAAUGACCCCGUAACUUAGGGAGAAGGGGUGCCACCGAGAGGUGGUCGCAGUGAAGAGGCCCAGGCGACUGUUUAGCAAAAACAUAGGUCUCUGCAAACUCGAAAGAGGAGGUAUAGGGGCUGACGCCCCCCAGUGCCGGAAGGUUAAAGAAGUUGGUCAGUUUUGGGAUGAAGCUAGCGACUGAAGCCCCGGUGAACGGCGGCCGUAACUAUAACGGUCCUAAGGUAGCGAAAUUCCUUGUCGGGUAAGUUCCGACCCGCACGAAAGGCGUAACGAUCUGGGCGCUGUCUCGGAGAGAGGCUCGGCGAAAUAGGAUUGUCUGUGAAGAUACGGACUACCUGCAUUUGGACAGAAAGACCCUAUGAAGCUUUACUAUAGCUUGGAAUUGUGUUCGGGCUUCCUGUGCGCAGGAUAGGUGGGAGGCGUAGAAGGUAUUCUUGUGGGGAUACUGGAGCCAACGGUGAGAUACCACUCUCAGGAGGCUAGAAUUCUAACUUAAUUAAGGACAGUUUCAGGUGGGUAGUUUGACUGGGGCGGUCGCCUCCAAAAAGGUAACGGAGGCGUACAAAGGUUCCCUCAGACUGGUUGGAAAUCAGUCGAAGAGUGCAAAGGCAGAAGGGAGCUUGACUACGAGAAGUACAGUUCGAGCAGGGUGGAAACACGGUCUUAGUGAUCCGACGGUGCUGUGCGGAAGGGCCGUCGCUCAACGGAUAAAAGUUACUCUAAGGAUAACAGGCUGAUCUCCCCCAAGAGUUCACAUCGACGGGGAGGUUUGGCACCUCGAUGUCGGCUCAUCGCAACCUGGGGCGGAAGUACGUCCCAAGGGUUGGGCUGUUCGCCCAUUAAAGCGGUACGUGAGCUGGGUUCAGAACGUCGUGAGACAGUUCGGUCCAUAUCCGAUGUAGGCGUGAGAAUAUUGAGAGGAGCCUUCCUUAGUACGAGAGGACCGGGAAGGACGCACCGCUGGUGUACCUGUUAUGAUGCCAAUUGUAAACGCAGGGUAGCCAAGUGCGGAGAGGAUAACCGCUGAAAGCAUCUAAGUGGGAAGCCCACCUCAAGAUGAGUAUUCUGGUGUAAGGUCACGGGAAGACGACCCGUAAAUAGGCACGAGGUGGAAGUGCAGAGAUGUAUGAAGCCGAAGUGUACUAAUAGACCGUCGGCUUGAC